UGAUGCAUCACUUCCUGUGACCACAGAGAAAUGUGGGAUGGAGGGAUUCCUUUUCCUCUGCAAACUCUUAUUCUGUUGCUCAGAUGCGGUCAUGGACUUCAAUCCACUGGAAAUAGAUGAGUCUAAAACCUCUUUUUCAUCCUUUGUUUGGACAAACACCUGAGUAUCACAGAGGUAAACACCCCCCAAAGUGACCUCAGUUAACCCUGUGUCUCCAUUUAGCCUCACCUGGUUCCUCCUAAACCCCUGGAAGGAGUUUAGGAGGAACCUCUGCUGGACACGGCCAAGGCUGUGAGAAGGUCAACAGUUUGAUCCCUCUGCAUUGUUGUGGUCCGGUCCUGAAACCAGAUCCUCCAUGGAAGCUCAACCCAGACCGGACCAGACCGGCGCAGGGCUCCACUGAGAGCGGCAGCCUCCCUCUGACAGCAGAGCGGUCCGUUUCCAGUUUCCACAGGAAGCCAGAGGAGCGCUUCCUCCAAACAUCUCCUGUGGAAACCUGGUUGGAUAAUCUGCUGUCCCAUCAGCUGGAACCUGCUGCCCUCUGGAGGUUUCCCUGUUCAACCAGACGCUCAGCAGAGCAGGAGCCACAGCCUGGAGCUCAUCAAACCCACGGAGAGAACUUCAUGUUCCAAUAAAAUUAUCUGAAUUCAGCAUGAGUUAUCUUCAUUUUUAAAUCAUAUUUUCUUUAUGCAGAAAUUAUCUUGUAAAUUGUUGAGAUAACGUGUUUAAAAAUCAUCAAUUAGUGGAAUACUAUAAAAAAUCAGUUUUAGGCUAAUGUUGAUUCUAAGCUCUUAUGGUGAAAUGGAUAUCAGAACUGCUUGUAAAACAAACAUGUUUCCAUGGAAACGUCAGAAUACCUCCACCACGAAUAUCUUAAUUAAUAACUUUAUGAAGGAAUAUUUAGGAUUAAUGUGUUGACAGUUUGACUGCAAAAUGUCAUCAAGACAUUUGAUUUUCUAUUAAAAAAAAA